rnacentral:misc_RNA from 1 species
AAAAUAAUCCUACCCUUUGUGAAUUUUGUUUGUUUGAAUAAUUUUUUUUUAAAAAAUUAUUGGAGUCUUUCCCUUUUAGUUUGCUUUUGAGUUUGUAAAAGAAUUCGAAAACAUCUAAAGGGGAUGGUCAAUAAUUUUUUUGAAAAAAGACAUUUUUUAAAAUUAAACUUUUUGUAUUCAUUUGUCUAAAAAUUAUUUUUAUAAUAUAAAAACAACUUUUGACAAUGGAUCUCUUGGUUCUCGCAACGAUGAAGAACGCAGCAAAAUGCGAUAAGUAGUGUGAAUUGCAGAAUACGUGAAUCAUCGAAUCUUUGAACGCAUAUUGCACUUUUUUAGUUUACUAAAAAAGUAUGUCUGUUUGAGUAUCAGUAAAAUAUUCUCAUAAAAAUCAUUGUGUAUUUUUAUGGUUAUGAGUGUUUUACAACGAUACAAGUUGUUUCACUUUAAAUUUUUUUUUAAUAUUGAAAUUUUUCUAAUUUUAAUAAUUAAAAUUGGAUAAAAUUUUCCCGUCAAAAGGAAUAACCUAAACAAUUUUAAAUGAUUAAUUUUAGCAAAAUUUUCGUAAAAAAGGAGAAUUUUUAUUAAAAUAACUUGAUCUCAAAUCAGAUAAGAGUACCCGCUGAACUUAAGCAUAUCAAUAAGCGGAGGAAAAGAAACUAACAAGGAUUCCCUUAGUAACGGCGAGUGAAGCGGGAAGAGCUCAAAUUUGAAACCUUCAAGGUUUUACCUUGACGAAUUGUAGUUUAAAGAAGUGUUUUCUGCUGAAGUUUUGGUAAAAGUUCUUUGGAAUAGGACAUCAUAGAGGGUGAGAAUCCCGUAUUUGACCAUUAUUUUCAGCUUUGUGAUACACUUUCAAAGAGUCGGAUUGUUUGGGAAUGCAGUCCAAAAUGGGUGGUAAAUUUCAUCUAAAGCUAAAUAUUGGCGAGAGACCGAUAGCGAACAAGUACCGUGAGGGAAAGAUGAAAAGAACUUUGAAAAGAGAGUUAAACAGUACGUGAAAUUGUCAAAAGGGAAGCGUUUGACACCAGUGUUGCUUUCUCGAAAAUCAAUUAAAAAUGGCUCGAUUUUGUAUUGCUGAGACCUUAAAAGCUCACUGUACAUUUUUCGUGUCUUUUUUAAUGCACUUUUCGUUUAACAAGUCAACAUCAGUUUCUUUUGUUGUAAAAGGGUCAUUGGAGGUGGCUUUCUUUUCGGAGAAAGUGUUUAUAGCCUUUGGCCUCUGCAAUCGGAGAGACUGAGGUCUGCAGCGUAGACUCUUCGGGGUUAGAUACAUUUGUGCUAAGUUAUAGCUUUUUAUAGACAACUUGUUGACUAUAAUUAGUCUUGUAGCUUACUCGCUUAUGCUAUUU